GAGUGAUUCCUGGGCAGAAUUCCUGGUUAGGCCUCCUCCUCCAAAAGCCCAUGUUGACCUUGCUCGUUGACUGGUAACUUGACAUUUGUCUUUGACUUUCCUCUCAACCUCAGUUUUCCUCUUCAAAACCAGUGAGGAGUCCAGGUCUUGAAGCCCACAAACACCAGAGUGAUCUGGAAUUGCCAUUUAAAGGAAAACAAAAAAAGAAAAGAUAAUAGGAUCGAUGCUGCAGGUUGUAUUUCCUGGGCUGGGAUACCGGGGACCGUCUGAACAAUGCGUCUAUUUUCUGUGCAUCCCUUUGUUCCUCUUGCUGGGAGCCUCGAGUGCUAACAAAGCAGACUGGAAAUUAAAGGAAACACAUCACACAGCUUUAAAAAUCGCAUCUUCCAUGGCAGGACAGGAGUUAAAGCUUGAAAUUUUUUUUUCCACUGUAUGUACCAAAUUUGGCCUGUGAUCCCUUUGAAUGGCAUGAAAAGCUGCCGGCUGGGUGUCAGUCUCCUUUCCUCGCUUCCUUUCUCACUUUUAAAAUAUGCCUGGCAAAGACUCAGCCCCCACCCCCCCACUCCCGCUUUAAUCCAUUUUGCCCUCCUGUUCAGCUGACUAAGAUUCCAAAUGAGAAAAAGCUUUCCUUCCCAAUUGUUAAGAGGGCUUUUGCACCAGGAGAAAAUAUUCGGUACAUAUGCAGGCCCUGAAGAACACAUUUGGUUUUUCCUUUUACUGAGCAGGUUUAGCAACUGUCUCUUCAGAGACCCUGUAGAUUUUUUUUUUUUUUUUAGUUUCUAUAAUAGUGAUUCUCCAAUCAUUGACAAAGCACCAAAACAUCUAUCUUUGUUCAUGGGCUUUUCAUUGUAUCUGGUGUUGGGAACCAAACACGAAAGCUCUUGAAAUUCCAUUAAAGUUACAUUCAUUUAUUAAAAAAAAAAAAAAAAAAAAAAAAAAGUCUGUUUAAAAGAAAGAUCACAUAGAGAUGUGCCCAAAUUUUACAAAACACCUGCUUUGGUGCUUCUGAACGUUAUCAAAGUUACCAACACUUCAAAAUGCAAUCAACUUACCAGUCUGAAAGACAAGGGGGCUGCCUGGCUACUGGAAGAUACAGGCAUCCUUUCAUCACACUUCUGCUUUGUGGAAAAAGCAGCCUCCAAUGGGGCUUUUUAUGUUUGGCUUAAACACCUAAGACAGUAAAAAAUGCUUUAGGAACAUUUCAGUAAAUGCAUUAUGGUGCCUAGUUGUCUUCUACUCUUAUUAAAGGUUCUUCCAGCUGGUCCAAGAAUUAGAUAAACCUGAGAGAGAUUCAUGGGAGAAAAUAAAAUGUAAUUUCGCGCAUAGGGGAACCCCACAGACAUGAGAGAGGGUCAGAGACGGACAGGUGUAGUGAGGCGUGGAUAGGGCGCUGCAGCUUCCAAAGACAGAAGGGUCAUUCACAAGAUGAGAAGGCCAGAUGUCUGGUCAUUAGAUGUUUGUCCCGCCAUAUGGAUGGGGCCACUUAGAUACAACUUAUCUCUGGUAAUAUCCAUUUUUUAGGUGUCUUGUUAGUGCUUUUGUUUUUCCGCCACGCCCAUGGCUUGCAGAAGUUCUGGGGCCCAAGAUUGAACCUGUGCUACUGCAGCAACAAUGCCGAUCCUUAACCCCCGGUGACACCACGGGACUCCAUAAGAAUUUUUCUCAGAAGAGUCCCCCAUUUAAAUUCUUCUCGGUAGUUGAGGGAGGAGCAGUAGUUUCUCCUUAGCCCAUGGAGUCUCAAUUGCCUUUAACUCAAAAUAAUCCGGCCCCGUGGGUUAAAGAUCCAGCACUGCCGCAGCUGUGGCGUAGGUUGCAGAGCUGUGUCUUGGAUUCCGUCCCUGGCCGGGGAGCUUCCUACCCGCCGCAGGUGUGACCGAAAAAGAAACAAAAAAGUGGCACAGCUUAGGGAGGCCUGUUCCAAACCCCUGACACCGUCAGUGACAUCAGAAUGCCUUUCCAGGUCUCCAAAAAUGGAAAAGAAUCAUCUGCAAUGUUUCUCUUUUGAUUUAAAAUCAAAAGUCCAUCUAGCAUAAGUUUGCCAGGUUUACCAAAUUAAAACACAGGAAGUAAAGUGUAAAUUCAGAUAAAAAGCAAAUCAUUUUUUAGUAUACGUAAGCCUCCUGCAAAAUCGGGGGGUGGGGCACUAAAAAUGUCCUUAUUGUGUCCCUAAAAGCCAACCUUAACAGAGUGCGCUGUAUUUAUCUGGCAACGCUUGUCUGGCAUCAUUGCUACAAAAACGAUGCAAAGCUGGAUUCGAUUUCUAGGGUCAGGAACAAAAGCUGGAGUUUCUGAGUUCAUUCCACAUGCCAGCUUUAAGACCGGCAUAUCACCCAGACCUGGGAAGCUUCUGCUACAGAAGUAGGAGGUAUUUCUAACUACUCGUUUCAGUUUCUUAAAGGGAGACCUUACCCAUUAGAGGAGAAGGAAAGAGCUGGCAAAUAAGAUAGACGAAACAUCUGGGACAAACAGAAGGGGAGAGAAUCUUUAUCAGGCAGUAACCGCAUUAGGACUGAGUAAGCUUGAAGCGAGACUUGCUAAAAGAAAAACAGAUGAGGAUAAUCAGAUUUCCAGGAAUCAGAGAGUAGAGACAGAGCGAGGAAAAGGGAAUCUGCAAGACAUAGAGCAUGGAAUUAAGCUACUGGAUAUUUAAGAAAACACUUGUUCCUCAAGAUGUUAAGAAAGAGACGAGCAAAGUCUUCAGCCAGUUUUGGAUUCAAUACAACCUUUCAAAAAUCAUUUAUCUCCCUCACUUUGAAAUACUUUCAGGAAGUGGAUUUCAAAGCGUGUCCCCUGGGACGCUGUGGUUUUCUAGGGCGCCUUGGGAGAGGAAGCAGGAGCCUCACGCAAACCCUCUGCUCCACCCCAACUGGAUCCCAACCCCGGUGCUACCCCUGCACAGGUGCACCCUGCCUGGUAUUCCCCUCUGUUGAGGGGUGCAGCACCCUGUCAGUCAAUCUCGUUGGUGUGGUUGAGGAUUAGCUCGGGGAGCCCCAAUCUGCACACCCACAUGACCUCCCUGCAUCAACAAAAUGGGGGUGCAACUGAUAACAAGUUAAUGUUUGUAAACUAGUUAAUCAGGAAGACCCAACAAGCUAACACACCUAAAGAAAUUAGAACAGUUCCCAGUAAAUACUUGUGAUAAACUCCCGCUACUAUCCAUUUCUGCAUUUGGACUUAGGUUAGGGUUUCAUCCAAAGGGAAGUUUCUACUGUCUUUAAAAACUGGGGGGGUAGUUCCUGUUGUGGCUCAACGGAAACGAAUCUGACUAGUGUCCAUGAGGACUCGGGUUCGAUCCCUGGCCUCACUCAGUAGGCUAAGGAUCUGGUGUUGCCGUGAGCUGUGCUGUGGGUCACAGAUGAGGUUCAGAUCCCGUGUCGCUGUGGCUGUGGCCGGCAGCAACAGCUUGAUUUGACCCCUAGCCCGGGAACUUCCAGAUGCCGUGGGUACGGCCCUAAAAAGACCAAAAAAAAAAAUCCUUUGGAAGGACUAGUGCUUUAAAACAUUAUAUUAUUUCAUAAUCGAGGAGCCUGCUUUUGUCCUUCGGUCCUUUGACUAAAAGCCAAGUCCCUCCCCACCUUCCACCCAUUAACCCUGAACUUGGCAGGUUAAGGACCCAGUCUCCUUUCUUCUCCAGAUCUGACUCUCAGCCUCCCCAGAGGUGGGCUGACAACAUAAGGAUGACGUCAUGGUAGUGACAGAAACUAUUUCAUUAUAAUCUGUUUUUUUUUUUUCCCCCCACUAACUUUCUAAAGGGAAAAACAUUCAUUAUUGAAGCCUUUGGAAGCCUUUGGAGGCCCACUCCACACAAAUGCUAUUAUCAUCACCCACAUUUGGUGAAGUACUUGGGGAUUACGAGUGUUAUGUAAAUGUUUACACAUUAUUACUCAGUGACCCAAGAUCCGCAGUGGGACAGCAGAGACAGCCCAGGAAGAAACAUGCAGCCCCAGGGAGGCAAUGGUUUCUGUAAAAGGUAUGACAUUCCCUUGAACUUCAGCAUAACCUUGGUUGUUCUUCUGAAGAGAGUCAUUUACAGCCAUGAAGGGAAGCACUGACUGUAAAAGAGAAAGCUGAGGGUUUGCUGCACAUUUGAAGACAGAAGGGCGCCUUUGGAGAAAAGGGCGACAGGGAAAGGCUUUAAAAUGCUGUGAGGGGCACUUGGACUUGACUGGGAGAACUUCCUGACAGUAAAAGCAGCCUGCUUCCAAGAGCUGUCACCACACCUUUCCCUAUGGAGCUGCUCAGGCAGGAACAGUUUCUCUUUCUUGGUAAGUUCAGCCGAAAGACAAGAAAUUGGAACCCAUCCUCCUAGCUGACCAUUUUAGGUAGUUAAGGUCAUCGCAGAACAUUCAAUGGCACUGUGUUCUCUUUAAAUCUGUACUCUUCUUGUGGGGAACAUCUUGGUUGGUGCCAGCGUGUCUGUAACACCCCCCUCCCGCCCCCGGCCAACACUUUCUACAUUCUUUUCCACCAAGACAAAGACCCAGAUCCAGCUGUGAAGUGAUCCAUGUCUCUAGGUACCAUCAUUGUUUUGUUAGACCAGUGAGGCUGCUCUUCCAUGUGUGAUCUUCAAAUUAUCUCUGAAAAUAAAUGUAAGAAGGAGUUCCCUGGUGGUGCGGUGGGUUAAGGACCUGGUAUUCUCACUGCAGUGGCUCGGGUUGCCGCUGUGGCACAGCUUCAAUCCCUGGCCUGGAACUUCUGCACACUGGGGGCACAGCUAAAUACAUACAUAAAAAUAAAUUUUAAAAAAAUUUUAAAUGGGUAUAAGAAAAAGAGGAAUUUGAUAUAAAGAGACAACCAGGCAAAGCACAUGUGGCACAGAGAUCUCAGGAAAAUCUGAGUGACCUGAGAGGUCAUGGUCUGGAGACCACCACCCCACGUGAUUUCAGGGUCUUCUCAGGCCAGGAACUGGGGAGCACCGGGAGGAGGGGCUUCAGUUGGGCUGUCUUAGCUAGAACCUCAGAAAGCAGAAAACCAUGCUUAAGAGGCAGUGCCUAUGAAAACCAGGAAUCUGUACACUCACAAAGGACCUCCAUGAGCACACAGACGAGAGGAAAACAAUUCUGCUCUUGAAAUUUUUUCACAUCUGCUCUGUACCGUUCCAGAUGAUUCUUGAAAGGAUGUUCAGCUUUUACAGAAGGACGAAACAUACACAAGUUGAGGAGAAAGCCCACGCCCUUCUCUCUUCCCGCUUAGAAGGAUGCUACAUGUCCCCUCUCCGUGUUCUUUUAAAACACAAGGAAGAAAGGAGGGGAUUAAAAAAAAAAAAAGAAGACGAAGCAGUGUAGCAAAUUCUCUGCCAGGAAACACACAGUGAAUUCUAGCUUGUUAGCAGCCUGCUUCCAAAUUAUUUUUAAAAAACAAAUCCUAACAGUCGUGUAGUUACAGCCUCUGAGGGAAGCUCUAAGCCCGAUGCCAGUGUCCCAGAACCCAAGUCACCAAAAAAAGAAACAGAAAAAAAGAAAAAAAAAAAAAAAAAAAAA
rnacentral:lncRNA from 1 species